GGCGAACGCUGGCGGCGUGCCUUAGACAUGCAAGUCGAGCGGUAGGCGUUCCUUCGGGAGCGCCGAGAGCGGCGAACGGCGGAGUAACACGUGGGUAACCUGCCCCGAAGACUGGGACAACCCGGGGAAACUCGGGCUAAUACCGGAUGUGGAUGGCUUGGCUUCGGCUGAGUCAUCUAAAGGGUUUUCCGCUUCGGGAUGGGCCCGCGGCCUAUCAGGUAGUUGGUGAGGUAACGGCUCAUCAAGCCUACGACGGGUAGCCGGUCUGAGAGGAUGA
rnacentral:rRNA from 1 species